GUGUGUAUAUCAUCGUUAAAAAUAUUUUUCUUUGUUAAUUAAACUUUGGGACAUUGAAAUUGGCUGAGGGAAAUAAACUGAAUAGAGAAUAUUACUCUAUUCAUAUACUUCUAGGCUACAUAA
ensembl:snoRNA LOC120102632 small nucleolar RNA SNORA36 family